UGGUCCUGGCCUUGAAAUCAGUAUUUACUUAAUUUACACAUGCAAGUCUCCGCACCCCUGUGAGAACGCCCUUAAAUCCCCCAUAGGGAAGAGGAGCCGGUAUCAGGUUCAUUUUUUAGCCCAAGACACCUAGCUACGCCACACCCACAAGGGAAUGCAGCAGUGAUUAACAUUGAUAAUAAGCGCAAGCUUGAACCAGUUAAAGUAAAGAGAGCCGGCAAAGCUGGUGCCAGCCGCCGCGGUUAAACCACGCGACUCAAAUUGAUCCCCUAGCGGCGUAAAGCGUGAUUAAAGCUAAUUAAAACUAUAGUAAAACCAGAAUUAAGCCGUUAUAAACUUAUUCUGCGGAACCCCAAAAACGAAAGUUACUACAACUCAAACAACUUGAACUCACGACAGCCAGGAAACAAACUGGGAUUAGAUACCCCACUAUGCCCGGCCGUAAACCUUAACUUACACCCAAAUCGCCAGAGAACUACGAGCAAAGCUUAAAACCCAAAGGACUUGACGGUACCCCAUAUCCACCUAGAGGAGCCUGUCCUAUAAUCGACAAUCCCCGUUCAACCUCACCACUUUUAGCCUAUCAGUCUGUAUACCUCCGUCGUCAGCUUACCACGUGAGCGACUAUAGUGAGCUCAAUGUCCCCCCCCCCCGUCAAAACGUCAGGUCAAGGUGCAACUUAUAAAGUGGGAAGAGAUGGGCUACACUCUCUAACCUAGAAAAUACGAAAGACUACUUAUGAAACCUAGUCGGAAGGCGGAUUUAGAAGUAAAAAGGCACUAGAGAGCCCUUUUUAACCCGGCCCUGGGGUGUGUACACACCGCCCGUCACCCUCUUCGAAGCCAACAAUACAGUAUAUAACUUCCCCAAGCAAAAGAGAAGAGGCAAGUCGUAACAUGGUAAGUAUACCGGAANNNNNNCUUGGAA
rnacentral:ncRNA from 1 species